UACGAAGGGGGCGAGCGUUGUUCGGAAUUACUGGGCGUAAAGGGCGCGCAGGCGGCUCUGAAAGUCAGAUGUGAAAGCCCCGGGCUUAACCUGGGAAUUGCAUUUGAUACUCUGGAGCUUGAGUGUGGGAGAGGAGAGUGGAAUUCCCAGUGUAGAGGUGAAAUUCGUAGAUAUCAGGAGGAAUACCGAUGGCGAAGGCAGGUCUCUGGGCUGACACUGACGCUCAUGCACGAAAGCGUGGGGAGCAAACAGG
rnacentral:rRNA from 1 species